rnacentral:misc_RNA from 1 species
GAUGAAGAACGCAGCGAAAUGCGAUACGUAAUGUGAAUUGCAGAAUUCAGUGAAUCAUCGAGUCUUUGAACGCACAUUGCGCCCCCUGGUAUUCCGGGGGGCAUGCCUGUCCGAGCGUCAUUGCUGCCCUCAAGCACGGCUUGUGUGUUGGGCCUCCGUCCUCCUCCCGGGGGACGGGCCCGAAAGGCAGCGGCGGCACCGCGUCCGGUCCUCGAGCGUAUGGGCCUUCGUCACCCGCUCUUGUAGGCCCGGCCGGCGCUUGCCGACACAUCAAUCUUUUUUCCAGGUUGACCUCGGAUCAGGUAGGGAUACCCGCUGAACUUAAGCAUAUCAAUAAGCGGAGGA